rnacentral:rRNA from 1 species
AUUGAACGCUGGCGGUAGGCCUAACACAUGCAAGUCGAACGGCAGCACAGGAGAGCUUGCUCUCUGGGUGGCGAGUGGCGGACGGGUGAGGAAUACACCGGAAUCUACUCUGUCGUGGGGGAUAACGUAGGGAAACUUACGCUAAUACCGCAUACGACCUACGGGUGAAAGCAGGGGAUCUUCGGACCUUGCGCGAUUGAAUGAGCCGAUGUCGGAUUAGCUAGUUGGCGGGGUAAAGGCCCACCAAGGCGACGAUCCGUAGCUGGUCUGAGAGGAUGAUCAGCCACACUGGAACUGUGACACGGUCCAGACUCCUACGGGAGGCAGCAGUGGGGAAUAUUGGACAAUGGGCGCAAGCCUGAUCCAGCCAUACCGCGUGGGUGAAGAAGGCCUUCGGGUUGUAAAGCCCUUUUGUUGGGAAAGAAAUCCAGCUGGCUAAUACCCGGUUGGGAUGACGGUACCCAAAGAAUAAGCACCGGCUAACUUCGUGCCAGCCGCCGCGGUAA